AGUCUCGCUCAGUUGGCCAGGCCGGAGUGCAGUGGUGCCAUCUCAGCUCCAUCUCCUGGGCUCAAUGAAUUCUCCUGCCACAACCUCCCGAGUAGCUGGGAUUACACGCAUGUGUCCCCAUGCCCAGCUAAUUUUUGUAUUGUUAGUGGAGAUGGUGUUUCAGCAUGUUGACGAGACUGGUCUCGAACUCCGGACCUCAGAUUUUACCAUCACCUGUCCUGGCUCGUCCUGAGGAUGGCCUGUUUUUAAGAUGCUCACCACAAUGCAAAGAUGAAGAUGAUGAUGAUGAUGAUGGUGAUGUUGAUUGUGAUGAUGAUGAUGAUGUGCAGAUAAGAGCUUGGAAAGGAAACGACUUGACGCUGGAGAGCAUUAGUGACGAGGAGACUCAUCCAGAGAUAGGAUUUCACCAUUUUGGCCAAGCUGGUCUGAAACUCCUGACCUCAAGAGGUCCACCCAACUCGGUCUCUGAAACUGCUGGAAGUACAGGUGUGAGCCACAGCACAUGGCCUCAUUGCAUCUUCUAGGCAUUCUUUGAAAAAGAAUGUGUUGACUGCAGGUGUGUGUUUAGAUUCUCUUAAGUCCCUAGGUUGAUGGAUUCAUUUUUAUGCCACUACUGUAGUCUUUGGAUGAGUGGAGGUGUUACAUGUAAUUUGAAAUUGGGGAGUGUGUGGCCUCCAGUUGAGUUUGUAUUCCCUAGAAUUGCUUUGCAUAUUCAGGUUCCUUGGGUCUUCAGUGGAUCCAUGUGAACAUUUAGCCGUGUAUUGUUAACAUUUCAUAAAACGUUUGUUUUACACUUCAUGUCCAGAAUUAGGGGUGCAUUGGGACAUUGUGAUACUUGUUUGUAUACCUUGAGUAUGGAUAAAAUCAGGGAGUUUCCCAUGCUUGUGACCACGUGUAAGUUUGAUAUCUUCGAUGUGUGAACAUUCAGUAUCCUCCUUGGUAGCUACUUUGAAAACGGCAUAACCAUAU
rnacentral:lncRNA from 10 species